GGAAUAUAAGAACCCGUCUCUUAAUUUUAACUAAAAAAGAUAAAAACCGGUUCUUAAAUAAGAGUUUUAAGAGCCGGUUCUUAACUUUUUUAGUUAAAAGUUAAGAGACGGGUUCUUAUAUUCC
rnacentral:pre_miRNA from 1 species